rnacentral:rRNA from 1 species
UAAGUUUGUUGCAGUUAAAAGCUCGUAGUUGGAUUUCGGGUGGGUUGGCGCGGUCCGCCUUUGGUGUGCACUGCGUCGGUCCACCUUCCAGCCGGGGACGGGUUCCUGGGCUUAACUGUCUGGGACUCGGAGUCGGCGAUGUUACUUUGAGUAAAUUAGAGUGUUCAAAGCAGGCCUACGCUCUGAAUACGUUAGCAUGGAAUAACGCGAUAGGACUCUGGCCUAUCCGUUGGUCUGUGGGACCGGAGUAAUGAUUAAGAGGGACAGUCGGGGGCAUUCGUAUUCCGUUGUCAGAGGUGAAAUUCUUGGAUUUACGGAAGACGAACUUCUGCGAAAGCAUUUGCCAAGGAUGUUUUCAUUAAUCAAGAACGAAAGUUGGGGGCUCGAAGACGAUUAGAUACCGUCGUAGUCUCAACCAUAAACGAUGCCGACUAGGGAUCGGCGGGUGUUCUUUUGAUGACCCCGCCGGCACCUUAUGAGAAAUCAAAGUUUUUGGGUUCCGGGGGGAAAAUGGGGGGAAAAAA